AAUCCUUUGCAUUUUAGAUUUUAACAUGAACAUCAGUAAGGAGGAAAAGAAUCCUUUUGAAAAACUUUGGUGUCUGCAAGGCAGUCCUAAAGAAAGCCAGAAAGCCAAGUGACUUAUACAAAGACGAGAUCUACCUGAACUCACAACCCUAAAAAAAAUGGGUCUACAUGCACCUGCUAUCACUCAAGAAGGAAGUCUGCCAGAAGGAAAUGACAUUCAACCUGAGAUGGAUGGAGCCAGAGUGGCAGCUAGCUAAUGACCUUGACCUCAGUGAUGUACAAGCUUCAUAGGUAAGAAGGCAUUCCUACCAUAUACAUCAGAAAUAACUGCAGAUAUUCAAGCCCAAAACCUUGAAGUUGCCCUUGACUUUACUUUUGCAUCUCACAUAAAAUCCCCUGUAAAUUCUGUCAUCUUUACCUGAAAUACAUCUAGGAUCCAGCCGAUUUCACCAUCCCCACUACUGCUCUUCAGAUACAGACCCCAUAGUCACCUGAAUUGGCUCCUUAUGUCCUAUGGUCUGUGGAAUAUCACAGACUUCCUGCUUCCCUGGAGUCUUUUUCCACCACAGAAACUAGAAAGAGCCAGCACAAGUUAGAUCUUGCCAUUCCUCUGCUAAAAACCCUGUGUAGUGAGUGGAAUUGUCCCCACCAUCCCAGAAGUUAUAUUCAUAUUCUAAUCCCUAAAAUCUGGGAAUGUGACCUUAUUUGAAAAACCAACCAACCAACCAACCAAAGAUUUUUGAAGAUGUAAUUAAGGAUCUGAAGAUGAGAUCCUCUUGUAUUAUCCAGAUGGGCUCUAAAUCCAGUGACAAGUGUCCUUAUAAGAUACAGAAGGAGAGGAUGCAGUGACACUGAGGAGAAGGCCACCAGAACACAGAGGCACAGACUGGAGUGACAUAGUCCCAAGCCAAAGAAUGUCUGGAGCCAUGGGAAGCCAAAUGAGGUAAGGAGGAAUUCUCCUUUAGAGCCCUUGGAGGGAGCACAGAUCUACUAACACCUUGAGUUUAGACUUCCAUCCUCUAGAAGAACUAAGGGAAAAUACAUGUCUGUGGUUUUAAGUAACGUAGUUUGUAGCAAUCUGUUAUGGCAGCCCCAGGAAAGUAAUACAUCUUCCAAAGGUUUCUUAUGUCAUUCAGAGUAAAACAUAACCGUUGAAGUUCUAACAUUGGCUCACAAGGCCAUGCCUGGACUGCCUGCCCCUACACCUGACCUCUCUGACAUCAUAUGAAGCGCUCUCUCUGUUCUUGGCAUGUGAGCCUCUCUGAUCUUCUUACUGUUCCUACAACACAUA
rnacentral:lncRNA from 13 species